UAAUAAUUCUGCACUCCCUGUAUGCAUGCUCUCUAUUUUAAAACACACAAAUACAUUUUUACACCAGGUUAACACAGCUAUUUCCGACAACCUUUAAAUGUUUUGCAAUAUGACCUAAAGUGGCUCCCCCAGAACCAAGCCGGCAUACACAGUCUGAUCCCAACGGAUCGGCUUGGGGAUGUCCGGAGGAGCACUCACAGAUCACUUCUCAAGGUCAGUCUGUCUAGAUAACCCGCCGGCAUUACCGUUUUGCUUUCCUGGGCGGUAAUGAAUAGUGAAGUUAAAAGGCUGCAGCGUCAAACUCCAGCGCAGCAGCCUGGCAUUUUCCCCUGCCACACGGUUCAGCUACACCAACUGGUUGUGAUCUGUGAGUAGGGAAAAAGGUUGUCCAUAUAAAUAAGGCUGCAACUUUUUGAGGGCCCACACCAUGGCCAGGCAUUCUUUCUCAAUGGCGGCGUAGCUCACUUCACAGGGUAAUAACUUUCGGCUUAAGUAAGCUACGGGAUGUUCUCACCAUCUGCUCCAAUUUGGCUCAGCACUUCUGCCAGACCAACAUUGAAGCGUCUGUGUGGACAAGAAAUCGUUUAGUUGGAUCAGGAGCAGCAAGUACAGGUGCAUUGGUUAAAACAGUCUUGAGUUGUUGGAACGCCUGAUCACACUCUGGGGCCCAGAUGACCUGUCGAGGAAGGUUUUUGCGGGUCAAGUCAGUCAGGAGUUUGGUCAGGGCACUAUAAUUGGGUACGAAUUUUCGGUAGUACCCAGGAAGGCUAGCACUUGGGUUUUUGUCCGGGGGGUAGGCCACUUAGCUACUGCUUCAAUUUUUGCUGGUUCAGGCUUUUGUUGUCCACUCCCUACCCGGUGCCCCAGGUACUGUACCUCUGCCAUCCCUAUGUGACACUUGUUGGGCUUUAGCGUCAACCCUGCCUCCCCGAUACAGUCAAUGACUGCUCCAAUAUGUCGCAGGUGGUCUGACCAGGUCUGGCUAUAGAUGGCGAUAUCAUCCAGGUAUGCACAUGCAUACUUCUGAAACCCAUCCAGUAGCCGAUCCACCAUCAGUUGAAAGGUAGCCAGAGAGUUUUUCAUCCCGAAUGGCAUGAAGCGAAACUGAUACAAGCCAAACGGGGUGACAAACACCAACUUGGGGAUGGCAUCCUCGGCUAGUGGAAUCUGCCAGUUUAUUUGCAUAAAUCUAUUGUAGUAAGGUACUGGCCUCGUGUCAUUUUGUCUAGCAGCUCGUCUAUCCGGGGCAUCGGGUAGGAUCAGACACUGUUUUGUCAUUUAGCCUCUGGUAGUCUACACAAAAGCGUGUUGUGCCGUCCUUCUUGGGUACCAGCACUACCGGCGAAGCCCAGGGGCUAUGGAAUUUUCAAUAACCCCUAGCUGCAACAUUUCCUCAAUUUCCUUCUCAUAUGUUCCCUGACCGCUUCC